UGAUGUCCUCUGCCUGGGCUGGCUGAGCUGUGCAUGUUGAAACAUGCCUCGACUUGUACUGGCUCGCCUGGCCGAGGAAGGAGAGAGGGCAAGGCUCUCAACGGUUUCACCAUGCCCUGCUUGAAGUGACCCCCUGGGCAGACAAACAGGAACCGGCAGAGCUGCUCAACUCUGGCAGUUGACUGUCCUGGACACUCAAGAGUGGACAGACACACUGAACAGAACCAGAACAGGACCCUGGAUCUUUAGCCAGUCUAUAAUCUGUCCUCGAUCCAAACACUACUUUACUGCCUAGCUCUUGGGGAUUCCCCUUCACAGUGAAACCUCCUCUUCAUCAGCCGAGACAGCAGGCUUCCUCCACUUACCUACCAGCUGCCACAGAGGAACCACAACGUUUAUCAAGGUGGGAAGCAGGCAGACUUGGAAUGAAAAUCACAGGAGGACUACCUCACUAUACCCCCUUCGAGGCGGACACCUAUUGAACUGACCAUUCUCUGACAACAUCACCGGGUCGGACCUGACAGUGACCACUGUGUGUGUGUGUGUGUGUGUGUGUGUGUG